rnacentral:rRNA from 1 species
CCUACGGGAGGCAGCAGUGAGGAAUAUUGGUCAAUGGACGAGAGUCUGAACCAGCCAAGUAGCGUGCAGGAUGACGGCCCUAUGGGUUGUAAACUGCUUUUAUAAGGGAAUAAAGUGAGUCUCGUGAGACUUUUUGCAUGUACCUUAUGAAUAAGGACCGGCUAAUUCCGUGCAUGCAGC